AUUCUUAUCUGGACGGGGUCAACGAGCGAUCAAGACGGCCCAUGGCUUAGGUUGGUGACCUCCAUUGCACUCUAGCCUAAGGUUGGUCCAAGUGGUCGAGCUUAUGACAUAAGCUCUGUUUGACCAAAAGAUGUC
rnacentral:snRNA from 14 species